CCCCUCUCAGCAUCGCACCUAGAGAGUUUCUAGAACUCUACCAGUCUCGGCUAUAGGAGGGAGAGUCAAGCAGAGGCCUGUCCAUUCCAUUCCUAGCUUGGGCAGUGGCUAGCAAGUGUAAGGCAAUCUGCUACAAAU
rnacentral:snoRNA from 1 species